rnacentral:rRNA from 1 species
AACGAACGCUGGCGGCAUGCUUUACACAUGCAAGUCGAACGGUAACAGGGUGCUUGCACCGCUGGCGAGUGGCGAACGGGUGAGUAAUGCGUCGGAACGUGCCGAGUAGUGGGGGAUAACGCAGCGAAAGUUGUGCUAAUACCGCAUACGUACUGAGGUAGAAAGUGGGGGACCUUCGGGCCUUACGCUAUUCGAGCGGCCGACGUCUGAUUAGCUAGUAGGUGAGGUAAAGGCUCACCUAGGCGACGAUCAGUAGCGGGUCUGAGAGGAUGAUCCGCCACACUGGGACUGAGACACGGCCCAGACUCCUACGGGAGGCAGCAGUGGGGAAUUUUGGACAAUGGGCGAAAGCCUGAUCCAGCCAUGCCGCGUGUCUGAAGAAGGCCUUCGGGUUGUAAAGACUUUUGUCAGGGAGGAAAUCCCUAGUGCUAAUAACACUGGGGGAUGACAGUACCUGAAGAAUAAGCACCGGCUAACUACGUGCCAGCCGCCGCAGUAA